AUGAUGAAAAUCGACAUUUGGACCUAGAACGGAAAGAAAUCGAUUAAGGGAUAAUUACGUCUUUUUUUUUCACCUUUGUGGUAUCGAGAGUUUCCAGGUUAGCUCGGGUUGGAGGCCGUCAGAGAUAUUAUCACACUGUCAAGCUAACUCUAUUGGUGUAGUGAUUUCAAGUACUUUGAGCCUAUGGCAUGUAUAGGAGUUUAAAUAUUAGAGUAUGUGAUAUGGCUUUAACCAUAUGUGUUGGCCUAUUUUGAUUAUGAGGUUGUAAAUCUAUUUUAAUUAUGCAUGCAUGUGCUAUGGUAUUAUGUGAUGAGUUUAUAAUGAUUAUAGUAUGAACGUGGUAAAGAUGUGAGUAAAAUCUAUGAUAUCUAUUGCAUGUGAAA